AUUGCAUAUGCAGUAUAGCAAUCAUCUGUGACAACAAAAGGAUAUAGUCUGAUGUGCACGUGCUUAGUAGGUGUACCAUCCAUGGUGUUGUGCUGGAGAAUUUGACCAGGUAAUUUCUCUAACCAAAAGGAAAUAGCAUCAAAGCAAGAUUGAAAGAUAAAAACAGAAAACUUGUGCAAGAAAGAAAGCGUGUCUAGUGAAUUUUAUUUUUGUUAGCUCAAUUUAAAUGGGUAGAAAUUUGCCCCUAGCUGUGUUGGAGUGACAAGGACUCCACUUAACCUACUGUCAUAACUAAUUAGAAAAAUAGCAAGAACACAUGAAACAACUGUUUUCAGACACUGGAUAACAAGUAGCCUCUGUGAGCUUUCAGAGAUAGCAAACAAACGAGAGGAGUCCUCUGAUUGUUAUCCAACUUGUUGCCUGGACGCAGUUUUUGGACCAGGAGCGUAAGAGGGCAUGCAGACAGAGCCCAGACUUGUCAUAGGAUGGAAGAGAAGGAGAUAGGAAGUUCAAAAGACUGAGGGGCCUCGAAGCUGUGGGACAGAACUCUAGAAGGAAGGAAGUCUCAGGGCAACGGAGUGUUCGCAGUCCGCACAGGAAUACCUGUGGAGGCUUUGCUCACUCAAUACAAGGCCAUGCAUGCGGCGGGUGGACCUUCAAAAUGCUAAAUGAAGAAUUACCAAGGGACAGUAAGCUGAAAGCUCCCCAGAGCUCACACAAGCUACCCAUGAGACACGUCGGUUGAAAAACUCCACUGAGAAUGGCGAAACAUCGCAAUGGAAGCAGACGUUUUCCUGAAAGAGCAUCAGGUGUUCAUGCUGUAGUUUCCUAUGGAAACAGCUUUUGCUGGCAGAGUCGGGAUACACCCGUGUCUUGAUGGGUUAUUGAAUGUGUGGAGAAGAUGCAAAUCUCAGCAUACAAUUCCAGGUGUGCAAAAGACAUAAUUUUUUCCCAUUAUUCAACUUAAUAUUUCAUUCAAAGCUUCUGUUUUGUUAAAACAGACUACCGUUAAAAUUUACACCUUUCAUAUUGGGACACAGCCAUACAGUUACACACAUUGCAAAUAACUGGGGCCAGGGAGAGUGUGGAGAUUGGGUAGAAUAUGUUUCUUAUGUUUCUUAUUCAUUGGUCCACGUAUGUCACUGAAUACUUUCACCCUAAAGGCUAAUCCCACUUUCCUGUCCUGCCGUACCUGGGUCCUUAGUUAAUGAGUGGAGAACCACUCAUUAUGAGAAUGAACACAAAAGAUAAUAUUAAGAGGGAGAGGGAAGAUAAAAUCAACAAGGUGAUAAGAAAUUCACUACUGAAUACUGUGAAUUACUUGCUUUUCAAUAAAUAUAGACACAAUAAAACAGAUGUAAGUUUUUCCUCAAAUAAUAGGGCUCACUAACUUGCAUUCCAGAAUUGCCUUUUCGAAUUGGAGAGAUAGAAGCAGUUUACGCAAGAUGCAGAAAUAUGUGCAUACCAAAAAUAAUUGAAAUAUGUAGUCAGUUACUUUGGGUGAAUACUGCUGUUCCUUCACGAUUUGUAGCAAAAAAAAAAAAAAAAGUAGAUUGAUUUUUUUUUUUUCCAACAAAAUUAGCAAGGUU